rnacentral:rRNA from 1 species
UACAGAGGGUGCAAGCGUUAAUCGGAAUUACUGGGCGUAAAGCGUGCGUAGACGGUUAUGUAAGUCGGGUGUGAAAGCCCCCGGGCUCAACCUGGGAAUGCCAUUCGAGACUGCAUAGCUAGGGGUGCGGAAGAGGGAAGCGGAAUUUCCGGUGUAGCGGUGAAAUGCGUAGAUAUCGGAAGGAACACCAGUGGCGAAAAGCGGCUUCCUGGUCCAGCACCGACGUCAGGCACGAAGCGUGGGGAGCGAACAG